rnacentral:rRNA from 1 species
UAUUCCCCACUGCUGCCUCCCGUAGGAGUUUGGGCCGUGUCUCAGUCCCAAUGUGGCCGUCCGUCCUCUCAGACCGGCUACGCAUCGUCGCCUUGGUGGGCCUCUGCCCCGCCAACUAGCUAAUGCGGCAUAGGGUCCAUCCCUCCGCUGGCCUUGAAGGGCCAUUUAGCGUGCAGGAGAUGCCUCCUGCACGUCUAUGCGGUCUUAGCGGCCGUUUCCAGCUGUUGUCCCCCUCGGAGGGGCAGGUUACCUAUGUUGUCCUCACCCGUUCGCCACUGACCGCCGAAGCGGUCCGUACGACUUGCAUGUAUUAGGCACGCCGCCAGCGUUCAUCCUGAGCCAA